AAACAGCCUCGUUCGAUGGUUAUGGACACAUUACCUUUUUCUUCCGUACACAUUCUUUCCUCUUAUCCCACCUCAAAAGCUGAUAAGAGACAAAACGUUCUAUUAUGGGACUUAUUAAAGAUGAGGAAUUUUUCUGUUCUACAGUCGCUGGCAACAGCCGUUUGUCACGUCUCCUGGCUGCUUCCGUUACUUUGCCUACAAAUGGAAUCAAACCUAGUUUUGUAGUAAUAGCUCUCAUAUAAAAUGAAGGAACAAGAUUACAUAAGAUUUACGGCGUGGUAUUGAACAGUUAUCUUUUAUAAAGCUUAAAAUGUAGUCUGGGACAGGCAUUUGUAGGUAAUCCGACAGGAGAGAAAGACUGACUUAGGUGAGACGCUUUGGGAUCAGCCAUACAAUGCUGCACGGGCCAUUAUCGUGAAUCCUGGGAUGCAAUAAAACACACGAAAUUAAUUAUUAAAUUAGUCACCAAGUCUCUCCUAGCCACCUUCUCAACGCAGCAUCAAGGUAUCCCAGCUAAAGAAGGAUUUCAUUAAUACGUUGUAUCAUCCGACAUAAAAGGUGUAGGUUUAUUAGUUUUCUCUCCAUUGUUUAAUCUACCUACUUAAGAUAUCGCGAGGAUACUCCGAACAGCUGAGAAUACGGGAUAAUGGGAUCUAUAAAUCUUUGGACGGGAAUGAGCGGCGGCGAGCGAGUUCGAAAUACUAUUUCAAUUAUCUGUGUACGGGUAUGAAGUGAAAAGUGAGAAGCAACUUAAAAAUCGGCAGUGAUUACACCUAAUAAAUUAUACAGAAACU
rnacentral:sRNA from 1 species